rnacentral:rRNA from 1 species
UACAGAGGUCUCAAGCGUUGUUCGGAUUCAUUGGGCGUAAAGGGUGUGUAGGUGGCGCCGUAAGUCGGGUGUGAAAUUUCGGAGCUCAACUCCGAAAUGGCAUUGGAAACUACCUUGCUCGAGGGUUGGAGGGGGGACUGGAAUUCUCGGUGUAGCAGUGAAAUGCGUAGAUAUCGAGAGGAACACCAGUGGCGAAGGCGAGUCCCUGGACAACUCCUGACACUGAGGCACGAAAGCUAGGGGAGCAAACAGG